AUAAAAAGUACACCAAGUGGAUGCCUUUCUACUCCAGGAAGCCGCAGCAUACGGCCUGAAGGAGGAAGGACGCGGUCAGUUUGAAAUAGCUGAAUCGAUGACAUCCUGAAAGCAGCAAUGCAGUUAAGCUGGGCCAGUUCUGCAGAUGAUCAGACGGAGUUCGCCAUCAUCACAUCCCUCAUUGCUGCAGUCAGACUGAAACAGGACGGUGAUGCAUGGCAGUCAAUGCCCGAGAUACGGAUGAUGAAGAGACCACAGCAACAUCUGGUCCAGAUGAGGACACAAGGGCAGGUGGACUGAUGCAGGGUCUCGUUUAAUUCACUACAGGAGAACAGGAGUGGCCAAACUCAGUCCAGAACUGCUGCUGUCUUGCAGAGUUUAGUUGAAGUUGACUCUAAACUUCACCAGCCAUCCAGAACUAAGUUUGGGCACCCCUGCAUUACAGCAUUUCCAGGAUGCUGCUGUGGACUUCUUUACACUCACCACAUACACCAAUCUGCAGAUAUUUCAAAUCAUACAAAACAUAAAAAAACAUUCAAAAAACAAAGUAAUUUUACUGCACAAUGUGUCAUUUGAUUUCUGUAGUGCUAGUAAUAAAAUUAUCCUACCUCUUA